CUCAGGCACCCCAGCGGGGGAAGGGGAUCUCUUUUAACCCUUUCCUUGCUAAGCGCUUGCAACAAGACUAUCUCCCUCAGGUGCGCUCGGGCACCCCAGUGGGGGAAGGGGAUCUCUUUUAACCCUUUCCUUGCUAAGCGCUUGCAACAAGACUAUCUCCCUCAGGUGCGCUCGGGCACCCCAGUGGGGGAAGGGGAUCUCUUUUAACCCUUUCCUUGCUAAGCGCUUGCAACAAGACUAUCUCCCUCAGGUGCGCUCGGGCACCCCAGUGGGGGAAGGGGAUCUCAUUUAACCCUUUCCUUGCUAAGCGCUUGCAACAAGACUAUCUCCCUCAGGUGCGCUCGGGCACCCCAGCGGGGGAAGGGGAUCUCUUUUAACCCUUUCCUUGCUAAGCGCUUGCAACAAGACUAUCUCCCUCAGGUGCGCUCGGGCACCCCAGUGGGGGAAGGGGAUCUCUUUUAACCCUUUCCUUGCUAAGCGCUUGCAACAAGACUAUCUCCCUCAGGUGCGCUCGGGCACCCCAGUGGGGGAAGGGGAUCUCUUUUAACCCUUUCCUUGCUAAGCGCUUGCAACAAGACUAUCUCCCUCAGGUGCGCUCGGGCACCCCAGCGGGGGAAGGGGAUCUCUUUUAACCCUUUCCUUGCUAAGCGCUUGCAACAAGACUAUCUCCCUCAGGUGCGCUCGGGCACCCCAGGGGGGGAAGGGGAUCUCUUUUAACCCUUUCCUUGCUAAGCGCUUGCAACAAGACUAUCUCCCUCAGGUGCGCUCGGGCACCCCAGCGGGGGAAGGGGAUCUCUUUUAACCCUUUCCUUGCUAAGCG